UAUGAAGGCUAUAGUCAAGGUAAAAUCCCUCAUGGUCCCCCACUAAAGCUAAGCAGGGCUGCGCCCGGUCAGUACCUGAAUGGGAGACCACAUGGGAAAACUAGGUUACUGCCAGAA
rnacentral:rRNA from 1 species